AACGAACGCUGGCGGCAGGCCUAACACAUGCAAGUCGAGCGGGAACUUCGGGGUGAGCGGCGGUCGGGUGGGUAACGCGUGGGAACUUGCCCUUUUCUACGGUAUACCCUCGGGAAACAGAGCGUAAUAACGCUUACGCCAUUUCGGGGAAGGAUCUAUCGGAACAGGAUGGGCCCGAGAUUGUUUGGGUAGUUGGUGGUGUAAUGGCCUACCAUGCCGAUGUUUCAUAGCUGGUUGGGGAGGAUGAACAGGACCGCUGGGACUGAGACACGGCCCAGACUCCGACGGGAGGGAGCAGUGGGGAAUCUUAGACAAUGGGGGCAAACCUGAUCUAGCCAUGCCGCGUGUGUGAUGAAGGCCUUAGGGUUGUAAAGCUCUUUCAGCUGGGAAGAUAAUGACGGUACCAGCAGAAGAAGCCCCGGCUAACUCCGUG
rnacentral:rRNA from 1 species